GUAGGUAUAAACAUUAAAUACAAAUCUUUGUUAACACAUUUACAAAUCCAACACAACUUAAAUUUUAUAUUCUUUUUAAAACUUUUCAACAAAUAAAUUUACAUAAAUAAUACUCAAUACGAAAAUCGAAAGAACACAUAAUGAAUUCUAAUAAUAACUACACUAGCAAAAGAAGUUCACUUUUAACUCGAAUAGGUGUUGACUUCGGCUACAACGAGGUACAGGAAAGUUCCACCACAAACAAUACUAAAACAAAUGAUAAACAAGAUGGUUGUAAUCAAAUUCUGGAAUUAAAACAUGAAUACCAAUACUCAGAACUAACAAAAAUGAACAGCCUUAAGCUUAACAGCAGAUACAGCCUACAUUUUAAAAACUAUACUGAAGAACUUUAUAAAGCAUUGAUAAAAGAGUGCAACUAUAACUUAUUGAAUUUAAGUACAUUAAACACAUUAUUAGACGAUGAGUCCUUGACGAGUGUCAGUAAUCGAACGAUGAAAGCUAUAAAGGAUCAAAAAAUAUUUUCGGUAUUAGGAUAUUUUCCAACAAUUUCUGUAGAGCUGAGAAACCGUGGUUGGGUGGAAAAACGAGAUCCGUACAGACCGCCUAUCAAUUAUUUGCAAUAUUUAAAAUCACCACCAUAUAUGGUUAAUUGGGUCGAAUCGCCCCCACUGAUAUCGCCAAUGAAUGAAUACGAAGGUGCCAUUGAGCGCCUAAAAAGUUUGCAAUCAUGGAGUAUUCUUAAAAAUAAAAGAUCUGAUUUUAUUUUCGUCACAAGAAAACGCUUGAUUAAUUGGUCCAGUUUAAGUAAAUUUACAUGUGUCAGCCAGAUGACAAGACACAUAUUUUGUACCAAAGAUGGUUUGGCACAAUGUUUGGAAUCUUACAAAAAUGCUGAAACAAAUUUGAUGUUUCCAAGAUGUCAUUAUAUUCGAACAGAAGCAGACAGUGAUGCAUUUGUGGAAGAUUACAUUACAACAGCGUUAGUAAGCACACUGAAAAUUAUUGUUAAAUCAAUUGAGAAUAAUAAAAAUAUGUUCACUGCAGAUGGCAAUAUACCAUACAAACUCAUUGAUUUUGUAAAACGAUGUGUAUUAAAAUUUCUGAAUAAACAAAAAGCUGGCAAUACUGAAACGGAUAUAUGGAAGUUUAAUAGUCAAAAAGAAGUAUGGAAUGAAUUUAUGAUUCAUUAUAAAAAAUUGACUAUCGAUAGUAAUGCCAAAUUUAAUCAAGAAUACACAAAUGAAUUAGAAUUAGAUGUAUAUGCAAAAUGUAAAUAUUUACUCGAAGAAGUGAAAAUAUAUUGUCCCCAACACUAUAUAGACGGGAUUACCAACACAUGGAUCAUAAAGCCCACAUCAAACUGUUCUGGUCAUGGCAUAAUAUUGUCCAGAGACUUGCAGAUGAUAAAACAAAAAAUCCCUAAAUCAGAUAUUUCAAGAAAUAAUUAUAUUUUACAGAAAUAUAUUGAAAGACCUCUUUUGGUUUAUACGUGUAAAAUUGAUUUGCGACAAUGGUUUUUAGUGACCAAUAUGAAUCCAGUAGUUGUGUGGAUGUAUAAAGAGGGUUACGUCCGAUUUUGUACUAACAGUUUCUCCAUGGGAAACAUGCAUGAAUCCAUUCAUCUCAGCAAUGUCAGACUGCAAAUUAGGUAUCGAAAAAUUAGGAAUUCACAAGUACCUGCAGAGUGCAUGUGGGAUUACAGAGAACUACAAAACCAUUUGAGAAAUAUUGGACAAGAAUACGUAUGGGAUGAAUUAAUUUUUCCCGGGAUGAGCGAAAGUAUUUACGCUGUGUUACAAGCUGCAACCGACACUUCGUUUUACCGGGACAAUACUUUUCAGUUGUAUGGAGCCGAUUUCUUGAUCACGGAUAACUUUAUCCCAUAUUUGAUUGAGAUCAAUUCCAUUCCCGGUCUGAAUCCAUCUACGAGCGUAAUUGCAAAUUUGGUGCCUAUGCUCCUAGGUGACAUUAUAAAAGUGACGGUGGACUACAAAAACAACACGAACGCUGACACAGGACUGUUUGUUAAAGUUGUGCCGGAAAAGUGGAAACCAACCUCAGCGGCCGCGGUGGACAGCGGGAAUCCAUUCAAUUCGUCAGCGGCCGGGACUGCCAACUACCAUACACCGUUCACGUUUGACUACCACCGCCGGUUGGUGUCACUACGACUUCAUAGGUAAAAAAAAGAAUAUGUCAACGUAAGCAGGCUCUAAUUCCGCCAAUUUCACUGUAAUUAAUCGUUGAACCUAACUCGCACACCGCAUAAUAUCCGACGAAAUAAUCUCGUACAAUGUAUACAAAUUCGCACAAUAAGUACCUAUCAAUAUAUGACUCAAGGAUGGAAAGUUUUGAAAAAUUUAAAUACUUUUUUAAUUAUAUUUUAUUUUUGGUAAAAAUGUUUAAGCCAUAAUUAUUUUUUUAAAAUAGUUAUGUAAAUUUCAUAGCUAAUGGCGGGCAGGAAAAAAUCAAAAACAUGAUGUACUCUUUGGUAGGUACGUUAGAAAAAUUUCACAUCCAUGAAGUUGUUCUGUGAAAAUGUUGUGUUUUUUUUUACCUAUGUAGCCGUAGUACCCCCACCCGAACGGUGUCUGGUUGGCAGUCCCGGCCACAGAUGAAUUGAAUGGAUUACCGCUGUCCACCUGGCCACUGAGGUUGGUUUCCACUUUUCCAGCACAACUUUUACAAACAAUCCAGUGUCGGCGUUUAGUUUUCUGUUGUAGUCCACCGUCACCACACAAAGGUAUUAAGCAGAGAAGAGAUUAAAAAAAAAAUGUAUGUUUGUUCAUUUAUUCCCUAGCGAAGUCAGAUUAUCUAUCGAUACCAUAAAAUUGUAUUUGAAAUAUUUUGAUAUAAACAUGUAUUGGUGGAGGUUUAAUAAUUUAAUAUUUUAAGAAUCCGCGUAUUGAAUGAAUAUUCUUGCACUACUCAUUAUAACUCAGUAUUAAACAGUGA
rnacentral:misc_RNA from 1 species